rnacentral:rRNA from 1 species
UACGUAGGGUGCAAGCGUUGUCCGGAAUUAUUGGGCGUAAAGAGCUCGUAGGCGGUCUGUCGCGUCUGCUGUGAAAACCUAGGGCUUAACUCUGGGCGUGCAGUGGGUACGGGCAGGCUAGAGUGCGGUAGGGGAGACUGGAAUUCCUGGUGUAGCGGUGAAAUGCGCAGAUAUCAGGAGGAACACCGGUGGCGAAGGCGGGUCUCUGGGCCGAUACUGACACUGGAGGAAGCGAAAGGCGUGGGGAGC